UAAUACGGAGGAUGCGAGCGUUAUCCGGAUUCAUUGGGUUUAAAGGGUACGUAGGUGGCCCUGUAAGUCAGUGGUGAAAACCUGCCGCUUAACGGUAGGCGUGCCAUUGAUACUGCGGGGCUUGAGUACAGAUGAGGUAGGCGGAAUGUGUAGUGUAGCGGUGAAAUGCAUAGAUAUUACACAGAACUCCGAUUGCGAAGGCAGCUUACUAAACUGCAACUGACGCUGAUGUACGAAAGCGUGGGUAGCGAACAGGAUUAGAUACCCUGGUAGUCCACGCCGUAAACGAUGCUCACUGGCUGUAUGCGAUACACAGUAUGUGGCCAAGCGAAAGCGCUAAGUGAGCCACCUGGGGAGUACGCCGGCAACGGUGAAACUCAAAUGAAUUGACGG
rnacentral:rRNA from 1 species